CAGAUGCGAUAGUUUCGCCAGGCCGUAGGGUGCCGCCCUGAUGCGGAGCAGCUUUUAAAGAUCGAGAAGUAUUUCCAUACUCCACAAGACGUUCCGAUUACAACCCUAUACACAGUUAUUUUCCCCGAGA